rnacentral:tRNA from 1 species
CGCUCAGGGGCUUCGAACCCUCGACCUCCAGAUCAGCAGACAAGCGCUCUACCGACUGAGCUAUGACGC